AGUAGUGAGAGUAAUCCACAGAUUGUGGUCUGUGAGAUAACUAGUGAGUGGUAGUAAUAUGGUAGUGAAGUAUUUUGAAAGAGUGUUAUUUCUUUCAAAGUUGUAGUAGUCUCUUGACACUACUGAGUUGUAAUAUUAUAGUGGUAAUAUUGCUCCACUCGGGUAUUGCAUUUUAUCCUGCUAUAAUAUUUGGUGUCAUUGUUACUUUCUUGUGUUAUUAUUAUCUGCUGUGAAUAUUGCUCCUAGGCGAGAUUAUUUUUUAUACCAACAUCCAUAUCUUGCCAAAUGCAUCAUCUCAGGUACUGUUCCCAAUUCUUGUUCAAUCUUGCUUAGCGCUGAUAAUAUAUCCCCUUUAUUAAAGUUCCUCUUCUUCAUUUACAAAGGUGGCUGUGAUGCAUCAGCUGGGUUGGUUUAUUGGUUUAGGAAUGGCCAUAACCGGAGGCGCCAAGCCAAGAUUUUGAGUUUAUGAAUUUUGGAUUCUAGAAAAGGCACCUUAGUAGUUUCUGAAUAAAUUAUUUAUUCGUGAGUUUUUAAUUCAAAUAUAUGGUCUGGACCAUAGCUACUAGGUUAUGUCGAACCCGUACUUAGAACUCUAGCUUCGCCCCUGGCCAUAACCAUAGGGCCCCUGACUGUGCUAUCAGGUCAGAGCAUGUGACCGAAACUUCCACUUCCUCUUGCAAGGUUAGACUACUUUCCUUUUUCUUUUUUUCUUUUUUUAAUAAAAGAAUCAAGCUGUCAAGUAAUUAGAUCCCUCUAACUAAGGCCUUGACCAAUAAGAUGCAUGUGCUCAAUCUUUUUUAUGAUAACAGUCCUAUUGUGAAGUGAAGGAAGAGUACACAGUUUCAUAGUUCCUGUAGACUUCUUUGCAGGAUCCAGUUUACCUGAGUGAAUACUCUUAUGCUGCGCAAAGCAAGGUUGUUUAGUUCAACAGUGUAAUCUCCACUGAUUUUUAUAUAAUAUAGAUUAAAUCGGUUCACUUCAAUCUGCUGUCUUGAGGAGCGUAAAGGAAAUCUACUUCCAGGUAGAGAAGAUAAUUUCUUACUGAUGAAUGAAAGUGAAUCCAAAAUUGCUGCCCUGUAAAGGAUUUUGAAGUAAACUAAAUUCUACCUGUAAACUAAAUUCUACUUUGAAGACACACUUUGAUUAAUAAUGCAUGUCUUGGUUGAUAUUAACACUUUUGCAUCCAUGAACUGAGAUGUUGCUUGUUGGAUGACCUUGCAUUUGAGGUCUUUGAGCUUGAAUUAGAUGUCAUCCUGAUAUGCUCAUAAUAGGUUCUUGUUCUGCAUAUAAGAUGUGUGAAUAGUCAGUGGAGAAUUUUCAUCGAGGAGAGUCAAAAUAUAAAGAAACAAACUCACCACGAAGUCAAGAGGUGUCAAUACUUAGUAUGUAUAAUAUAUUUCAUAAAAAAAAAUUAUCUAACUACACAGUGUAAAUUUUCGACAAAGGGUGUGUCGGCUUUAAGUGCAUGUGGCUCCGCCACUGGGAAUAGUGCUGGCAGUACAUCAGCUUCUCCUAUGCUGAUUGACCUUUUGGCACCAAACCUGGACUAGUCACUAUUUUCCUGUUUUUGUUUCCUUAUAGAUAGACUUGGGAGGCGUCAAUGAGAUCAACAACUGCCACUUUGUUACUGAUGACUUAUCAGACACCAACAUCAUGUAAAAGUCUUUUCACACAGUUAUAAAAAGUAUCCUGUUGUUCUUGAAAUUUUAAUGGCUGAUAUCCUAAGAGUACUCCCUUUGUCAUGGCUCAGUGGGCUGCAGAAGGUAAGAAGGAAUUUCUGCCUGUCACAAACAACAAGGAUGGAUACUCUUUCCUCUAUACUUUUGGGUGGCAGGUCAUUCUGAAUUUGAUGGCUAUAAUGUUCUCUAUUGGUUUUCUUUUUACGGUUGUCUUUUGUUCCUAUGUCAUAGUUAUGUCAAUAAAUUGCUGGACAAACUGGAGUAUGGAGCUGCAUUUGUUGGUUUUGCAAUUUCAAUUCCUUAAUCCAUAAGUACGUUAGAAAAUUCUAGUCACCUUUAAUAUAAUUCCACUAAUUUUUAAAGUGAAGAUAAAGUAUUAGUGUAAAUGUGAUACCAAGCAGUAAAGUGGACAUACGAGAUUUUGGUUCGCCACAACAGGUUUGUUGAAAUGCUAGAUUAUUUAUCCCAGAUAUUUAUAUAACUGUUUGGCUGUUUUGGAUUAUUUUGCUCCACGAAGUAAUUAUAAUUUUCACUGAUUGCAUAUUAAUUUGGGAUUGUGGCACUCGUCAAUGUAUUCUUACCAGAACUAUUCAUAUUGCAGGUUGCUGAAAUUUUAACAAAAACGUUUUUGGUGUCACCUUCUCAGAAAACAAAACUGAUUCACGCAUCAGAGCGCAGCGUUGAUGACAAAACCUAUUACACAUUCGAGUUUACUGCACAAGUCCCAAAUUAUGCUCGCCAUGCAAUCACUGCAGUCUGCAUUGGCAACGGAAAGUUCUUUACUUGACAAAUGGGGAGAAGAUGAAGGAUAGAUUACAUACUGUGGUUGACUCUUUCCAAACUUUCAAUGUCUAAUAGAAUAAUAUACUUUAGUAACACAUUGCUUCGUGGUGUUAAAUUCCAGAGGAAAAUAUCUGGGAUUGGAGGUUGUAUAAUGCAGAGGCGAACUUAGGAUUUAAAUC